GCGCGUCAGCAGCACAUAUACUAAAAAUCAGAACGAUACAGAGAAGAUUAGCAUGGCAUGUUAAUCCGUGCAAGGAUGACAUGCAAAUUUGUGAAGCAUUCCAUAUUUUU